rnacentral:rRNA from 1 species
CAGUCGCCGCGGUAAUACGUAGGGUGCAAGCGUUAAUCGGAAUUACUGGGCGUAAAGCGUGCGCAGGCGGUUUGUUAAGACAGAUGUGAAAUCCCCGGGCUCAACCUGGGAACUGCAUUUGUGACUGGCAAGCUAGAGUCUGGCAGAGGGGGGUGGAAUUCCGCGUGUAGCAGUGAAAUGCGUAGAUAUGCGGAGGAACACCGAUGGCGAAGGCAGCCCCCUGGGCCAACACUGACGCUCAUGCACGAAAGCGUGGGGAGCAAACAGGAUUAGAUACCCGGGUAGUCCCUGUCUCUUAUAC